CGGGAUCAAUCUAGGACUGUCUGCUGGUGAACAGAACUCAGGGAGAGAAAGAAUCUUCCCCAGGAUUCUUGGCACUUCCUUGUCUGGUAAAUUCACAUCUAUAUCUCCAUUUGCAAGCAUUUCAGACAAGUGUUUCUUGGCUGCAAUAUAUAAGCCAGACAUUAUCUUCUUUGAAUCUUCGCUUGAGUAGAUAGUCUCCUCUUUACCAUCCUCGGUCGUUCUUUCGUCACAGAACGGUUCUUCUUUAUCCGAAACAUCAUGCUUCUCCUCUGAUUUACUCUGUAUCUCUUCUUGCGUAGAACAGUUUUGGCUCCUCUUAUCAACAGAAACAUCACAUGACUUCUUUCCAACAGCAGAUUGUAGUCUUCUCU